rnacentral:rRNA from 1 species
GACGGAGGGUGCUAGCGUUGUUCGGAAUUACUGGGCGUAAAGGGCGCGUAGGCGGCUACGGCAGUCGGGUGUGAAAGCCCGGGGCUCAACCCCGGAACGGCAUCCGAUACUCUGUGGCUAGAGACCGGAAGAGGUGGGUGGAAUACCCAGUGUAGAGGUGAAAUUCGUAGAUAUUGGGUGGAACACCGGUGGCGAAAGCGGCUCACUGGUCCGGUUCUGACGCUGAGGCGCGAAAGCGUGGGGAGCAAACAGGG